rnacentral:ncRNA from 1 species
CACAAGGUCUUGGUCUUAAACCCCCUAUUAUUUAUUACCCUAAUUAUACAUGCAAGCCUCACCAUAACAGUGAAAUAGCCACUAUCAACUAACCUGAGCAGGUAUCAGACACCACACCCAUAACACCAAGCAAACAGCCACACCCCCACGGGCCCGCAGCAGUAGUUAACAUUAGGCAAUAAGCGAAAGCUUGACCUAGCAAGGGAUAUUACUUAGGGCCGGUUAAUACCCGUGCCAGCGACCGCGGUUACACGACAGACCCAAAAUAAUACCAACGGCGUAAAGCACGACCAACUAAACAGUCCAACUAUUAAGAAAGAAGCUAAACCGGGCUGUAAAAAGCCAUAGGCCACACUAACUCACCCCUUAAUACAGAUACACCCCCACUCGUGAAAGCUAGGAUACAAACUAAGAUUAGAUACCUUACUAUGCCUAACCAUAACACAACAAUUAAACCACCAAUUGUUCGCCAAAUAACUACGAGUAAAAACUUAAAAUUUAAAAGACUUGACGGUAUCUCACAACAGCCUAGAGGAGCCUGUCCAAUAACCGAUACCCCACGAUUAACCCAACCCCCUCUAGCCUAACAGUCUAUAUACCGCCGUCGCCAGCCUACCUUAUGAAAGAAACAAAGUGAGCAAAAUAGUCAUUACUAACACGACAGGUCGAGGUGUAACUCAUGAAGGGGUUAAGAUGGGCUACAUUUUCUAACACAGAAAACACGAACAAACUAUGAAACAAGAAACCGAAGGCGGAUUUAGCAGUAUAAUAAGGACAAAACACUUAAUCGAAACUAACGCAAUGAGAUGCGUACACACCGCCCGUCAUCCCUGUUAAAUAACCAAUCACAUCCAUAAACACAACCACUUCCACAAAGCAGGGCAAGUCGUAACAUGGUAAGCGUACUGGAAAGUGCGCUUAGAAA